AUUGAACGCUGGCGGCAGGCCUAACACAUGCAAGUCGAACGGUAACAGAAAGCAGCUUGCUGCUUUGCUGACGAGUGGCGGACGGGUGAGUAAUGUCUGGGAAACUGCCUGAUGGAGGGGGAUAACUACUGGAAACGGUAGCUAAUACCGCAUAACGUCGCAAGACCAAAGAGGGGGACCUUCGGGCCUCUUGCCAUCGGAUGUGCCCAGAUGGGAUUAGCUAGUAGGUGGGGUAAUGGCUCACCUAGGCGACGAUCCCUAGCUGGUCUGAGAGGAUGACCAGCCACACUGGAACUGAGACACGGUCCAGACUCCUACGGGAGGCAGCAGUGGGGAAUAUUGCACAAUGGGCGCAAGCCUGAUGCAGCCAUGCCGCGUGUAUGAAGAAGGCCUUCGGGUUGUAAAGUACUUUCAGCGAGGAGGAAGGUGUUGUGGUUAAUACCCUACUUCAUUGACGUUACUCGCAGAAGAAGCACCGGCUAACUCCGUGCCAGCAGCCGCCGCGG
rnacentral:rRNA from 1 species